AUGAACGCUGGCGGCGUGCUUAACCCCUGCAAGUCGAGCGAGAAGUUUUGAAAAGAUUCUUCGGAUGAAAUUUAAAAUGGAAAGCGGCGGACGGGUGAGUAACGCGUAGGCAACCUGCCCCAUACAAAGGGAUAGCAUUUGGAAACGAAUAUUAAUACCUUAUGAAACUUAACUAGUGCAUGCUAGGUAGGUCAAAGAUUUAUCGGUAUGGGAUGGGCCUGCGUCUGAUUAGCUAGUUGGUGAGGUAACGGCGCACCAAGGCGACGAUCAGUAGCCGACCUGAGAGGGUGAGCGCCCACAUUGGAACUGAGACACGGGCCGAACUCCUACGGGAGGCAGCAGUGGGGAAUAUUGCACAAUGGGGGAAACCCUGAUGCAGCAACGCAGCGUGAAAGAUGAAGGCCUUUGGGUCGUAAAGUUCUGUUCUAGGUGAUGAAAACUGACAGUAACCUAGGAGAAAGCCCCGGCUAACUCCGUG
rnacentral:rRNA from 1 species